UACGUAGGGUGCGAGCGUUAAUCGGAAUUACUGGGCGUAAAGCGUGCGUAGGCGGUUCGUUAAGUCAGCUGUGAAAGCCCCGGGCUCAACCUGGGAAUUGCAUUCGAGACUGAAUAGCUAGGGUACGGUAGAGGGAAGCGGAAUUUCCGGUGUAGCGGUGAAAUGCGUAGAUAUCGGAAGGAACAUCAGUGGCGAAAGCGGCUUCCUGGACCAGUACCGACGUUCAGGCACGAAAGCGUGGGGAGCAAACAGG
rnacentral:rRNA from 1 species